rfam:Bacteroidetes bacterium 43-93 SCNpilot_expt_1000_bf_scaffold_15, whole genome shotgun sequence.
GAGGCAUUAGCUCAGUUGGUUAGAGCGUCGGAUUGUGGUUCCGAAGGUCGUGGGUUCGACCCCCAUAUGCCUCC